rnacentral:lncRNA from 1 species
CCCUCUCACACAGCACAAAUCAAAGAAACCCCCCCACCCACUCGUUUCUUCUCCGGUGAGACCACCGGCGGAACCGUUGCCGGUAUACCGCCCAGCCGCACCCCCUUCUUCUCCGACGCGACACCGCUACCCCCUUCAUCUUCUCCGGUCAGAUUUACGGCAGACACCAUCAACCGCCCCCCUGUUCUUGACUAAUUGAACCACCGACUACCACCCCUCUAGUGGUGGCACGCAGCGACGCGAGAGAGAGAGGAGACGAGAGAGAGAAGCAGGUUAGAGAUGGAAGUUUAACGGCUGCAACAGUGGUGGCACUCGAUAGAACCGUCGGCGACGGCGCCGCCGUGACGGCAGCGGUGGUGUUUCGACUCCGACGAGGCAACUGCUUAGCUCCGAUUCAGUUUUGGUUCUCGGUUUGUUUCGACUCACGCAGUUCGGUUCAGAUUCGGAUCGAUUUGGUUCAGAUCCGGUUCAGUCGAGUUCAAUCGGUUCGGUUUGAUGCCCGGGUCAAACCUGGUCAAACUUGGUCAACUGAGGUCUCGAUGCACUUGGUAGUUCAACGACGGUGACCUCGGUGUUCCACCCUCCAAAUCUUUUACGCUCGUCAACACUUGGAUAAUCGGAAGACUUAGCAAUUAUGUUGACAGUCAAGAUGUUGAAGAAUCAAGUUAGGAUGGCUAGAUACCCAUUUUAAUAAUAAACCAUGUUUGUUGCAAUUUGUCUU